rnacentral:rRNA from 1 species
CAAGGCGACGAUCCCUAGCUGGUCUGAGAGGAUGACCAGCCACACUGGAACUGAGACACGGUCCAGACUCCUACGGGAGGCAGCAGUGGGGAAUAUUGCACAAUGGGCGCAAGCCUGAUGCAGCCAUGCCGCGUGUAUGAAGAAGGCCUUCGGGUUGUAAAGUACUUUCAGCGGGGAGGAAGGUGUUGUGGUUAAUAACCGCAGCAAUUGACGUUACCCGCAGAAGAAGCACCGGCUAACUCCGUGCCAGCAGCCGCGGUAAUACGGAGGGUGCAAGCGUUAAUCGGAAUUACUGGGCGUAAAGCGCACGCAGGCGGUCUGUCAAGUCGGAUGUGAAAUCCCCGGGCUCAACCUGGGAACUGCAUUCGAAACUGGCAGGCUUGAGUCUUGUAGAGGGGGGUAGAAUUCCAGGUGUAGCGGUGAAAUGCGUAGAGAUCUGGAGGAAUACCGGUG